rnacentral:rRNA from 1 species
GAUGAACGCUAGCUACAGGCUUAACACAUGCAAGUCGAGGGGAAACGAUAGAGAAAGCUUGCUUUUUCUAGGCGUCGACCGGCGCACGGGUGAGUAACGCGUAUCCAACCUGCCCACCACUUGGGGAUAACCUUGCGAAAGUAAGACUAAUACCCAAUGACGUCUCUAGAAGACAUCUGAAAGGGAUUAAAGAUUUAUCGGUGAUGGAUGGGGAUGCGUCUGAUUAGCUUGUUGGCGGGGUAACGGCCCACCAAGGCAACGAUCAGUAGGGGUUCUGAGAGGAAGGUCCCCCACAUUGGAACUGAGACACGGUCCAAAACUCCUACGGGAGGCAGCAGUGAGGAAUAUUGGUCAAUGGACGUAAGUCUGAACCAGCCAAGUAGCGUGCAGGAUGACGGCCCUAUGGGUUGUAAACUGCUUUUAUGCGGGGAUAAAGUGAGGGACGCGUCCCUUUUUGCAGGUACCGCAUGAAUAAGGACCGGCUAAUUCCGUG